GCCUGGUUGGCUCAGUUGGUAGGGCAUGGGACUUUUGAUCUCAGGGUUGUGAGUUUUAGCCCCACACUAGGUA
rnacentral:tRNA from 1 species